GGGAUUUACCUUCCACGUGUUUGGCACGUGUCAUUUGGAGUAUCUGAGAAGCUCGUCCCUCUUUCUCCACGGUAUCUGAGCAGUGGAGAGGGCUGCCAAACCAUAGAAGAGUGAGGCGAUGCCGUCAUCUAAAUCUUCAAAUCCAGCACCUUUCUCAGAUUCCAGUUUGCUUUCUCUCCAUGAUUGUUACAACUAUAAAAGGACAUUCCAGAUGACAUGAUGCUGUCACUGUUUGUAGAGUUGAAAAUGUCCCUUCUGAAGAGUGCACUGUGUGUUCAGGCAAGGAUGCCCAUCUCUUGACCCAGAACCCCAGCUCAGUACAGCUUGUGGUAACAACGUUCCCAUGUAUGACUGUGGAUGGUAGAAGGAGAAUUUAACCAUGCUUUUGGAAAGUGCAGGAGUUACAGUGGGAGAGGUUUCUAUAAAUACAAAUUUAAAUGAAUGGUUUACAAGAUACUAUAACUUAUGUGAAAAGGAAGGAAGGAGAAUAUACAUAUUGCACACAGACAAACAUAUGUAAGGCUACACAAGAAGCUGAGAACAGUUGCUACUCUGAGGAGAACAGGGUGGGCCAGGCACGGUGGCUUAUACCUGUAAUCCCAGCACUUUGGGAGGCCAAGGCAGGUGGAUCACCUGAGGUCAGGAGUUCGAAACCAGCCUGACCAACAUGGUGAAACCCUGUCUCUACUAAAAAUACAAAAAUUGGCUGGGCGUCGUGGCAUCCGCCUGUAAUCCCA
rnacentral:lncRNA from 1 species